CUGCUGUGUGGUGGUAGGUGUUAGAUAGCUAGUUUCUGGAUUUGAGAGCUCCAUGUUCUUAUAUUCUAAACUAAAGUUUUUCCCCAACAUGGAUUUGUCUGUUUAAGAAAAGGGUUUUUAAAUGCAAUGCCUCCAGUAAGCCAUGUAGCUUUGAGCUUCACCCUUCCGAAUGUUUAGCAUUCGAGGAAGACCAGGGCUGCCAGACGGGAAGCCUCCAUGCAGGUCAAAGCUCUGUGCUGUGGGAGAGCGCUCCUUUUCAUGAACCUUGGGACUGUAGCUGGGCUUGGCCUGCUGCUUUUUGAACUGGCACAUCUCCUGCGAUGAAGACACAUUAUGUACACCUAUGCAACGGAGUUCAGAAGUACCUUGUUUAUUCCUGCUUAUAUUUUGCCAGUCAGUCAGACUGUCCUUGUUUAUGCUGGAAAAACUGGCAGCAGUUGAUUGCAGAGUUGAGAGUUGAGUAGCAGCUGGAAAAUGGCAGAUCCCGUGGCUCUAAAGUACCAGAGCAGCAGAACCUGCCCCCUGCACCUCCUAAACCAUACCCUAGGGGGGGGGGAAAUGUGCUGGCUGGGUGGCUGGAGGGGUAUAUUUUACCCCGAAAUAUGGGGAUAUUGAAAAGGGGAAACGAAAUAAAAACCUGAGUUAAGUUUUGGUUUCCUUUUUGGUAUUUUUCCAUGAGCAGUGCUGAUGAAUACUGGACUUUAAGCAGGCUCAGGAACCACAGUCAUUCUGUGUGUGCCAACAGAAAGAAAGGCUUGUGGGACAUCAAAACGAACCCACAACAUUCAAGUUCUGUGCCACGGAUACUCGGUGCAAUAUUUGCUCUAAAUCCAAAGAAUGCUCCCUCCCGCGACAGAAGCCGAUUCACACACGCGAUACAGCGCGACACAAACCGCAGUCUGAACCAAGUGUUGAGCUUAGGUCCCAACUUCUCAAUAAGGAAAUCCUGCCAAUUACUACAGGUAGCAAGACCCUUUACUCAUCAAUAGGCAGUUGUGUGUCUCGCUGACUAAGAUUGUACUUUUUGUGUUUGUUCUCUGCUGUACCUCGUAAUUGGUCGAAAGUGGACCGAUCUGGGGGGGGGGUCACUGUUUUUACCUUUGGUCUGUGGCUGCAGUGAUUUACCCCAGGCAGGCUGUAAUAAAACGGGGCUGACAGGGUAAAAUGGGGCUGUGGGGUGGGGGGGGCUUGCUGUGUCCCAGCCUCAGAGGGGCACCUUGGUUUGGGCGAAGGGGGCGGGUUCAGUUUGGGCCCGGCUCCCGAGGGGAGAGGGCUGAGUCAGACACGCCGCGGCAGGACGCUGACGUCGCUCGAUAAUCCGCAGUUCACCGAGCGUCGGCACGGCAACCUUCAUUACCGUCACACCUGUCCUUCCCAGGCCAGUGCGCGCUGUGGAACAGACCUGUCUCACCAAACGGCCGGGCGUCGCCACAGCCCAAACCAGCUCGUCUGUAGUUCUCUACCCACUCCUGUGAUUCCUGCAAGCUCACAUUGAGGAAAACAGCCCACUGUCUAAAGAAAGACAGCCAAACUACCAGGGUCCACUCUGCACCCCAACUUAUUUUGCCUGUACCCAAACUUUCCCUGCCUCUAACACAACUCACCAUGUCUAUACCAAAAGUUACUGUCUGUGUUUAUCGGGUUAAUUAUUCUACAUUACUACAUUCGUGCAUUUACUAAUUUUAAGUAUAUGCUUGUGGACCAGAGCCAAGGAACGUGGAUUUCAAAAACAAUUUUAUUAAUCGCACACACAUAAUAUGUACAGGUGUACACACACAAAAGUUAACUACAAGUGAUUGCAGUUUAUUAAGCUUCUUAAACAGGAAUGUGUAAAAAAAAAAAAAAAAACUUUUCUUCUUGGCACGGUUCAGGUGCUGCAGUCUGAUUGGCUGACACGGCGCUAGGUCAGGGCCCAGCUCCUCUGCACUCCAAUAACUCUUCUCUCUGCUGGUUUUUUCUCUCUCUUUCUUUCUCUCUCUCUCUCUCACACACACUCAGGCACAUUCUCUCACACUGUCUGUCUCGCAAAUACACACACAUUCACACAUUCUCUCACACACACACUCUCUCACACACACUCCCCCUGUCUGUCUCACACAGUGUGUCUAUCUCUGUCUCACACACUCAUGCACAUUCUCUGUCUGUCUCUCACACACGCUCACUCUCAUAAACACUCAGGCUCUCUAGCUCAAACACACUCACACACACACACACGCUCUCUAGCUCAAACACACUCACACACGCACGUUCUUUCACACAAUCUCUCUAUGUCACUCUCACACACACACAGGCUCUCUA